AUGGACGAGAUGCUGGCUUCAUCCCUACUGCAUACGGAGCCGCCAUGGAUGAUGAACCACGCCGACGGCCUGCUGACCAGUUUUGUCACCCUGGCGCUGUGCGGCACCGGCCUCGCCGGAUGGCUUGUGUUCGGGCGAACCAGGAGACUUGGGCACGUUGCGCCUGCUCCUGGCACCGGCUGUGAUGAAGCAGGGCAAGGUAUACAAGAGCAAGACCGCCUCAUCGAACAGAAUUCCGGUGCCGGGCUGGAGUCAACGGAGGAUCCAUAUGCUUCUCCAACACUCAACGUGAUCCACCCCUGGCUGCUGGAGGUCAAUCUGUUACGCGGCCUCCGUCACGAAAACAUCGUCGCACUGGUGCCUGCUUCCACUCCCGGCAGCGAGCUCGUCUACGAGCACGCGGAGAACGGUACCCUUCAUAAGUGGCUGCACCCGCCCCUCCUGCCGGAGGCGGGCGAGUGCUGUCCCCGCCCACCGCUGACCUGGCCGACGAGGAGGGCCAUCGCCAUCGGCGUCGCAGGAGGGCUGUCCUACCUGCACGAGCAAUGCAUCGUCCACCACAACAUCAACUCUAGCAACGUAUUGCUUGACCGUGCCUUCAAGCCCAAGAUCACGGGUUUCGGUCAUGCCCAAAAGAUCAACAUUGCCGGAUCGGACGACGGAGACGAACAACCACCGCCCACGUUUCAACCUCUUACCGGCAACUUUGGAUACGCGGCUCCAGACUAUGUGACAAUGAUAGGUGAGUUGACCGAGAUGGUUGACGUGUACAGCUUGGGCGUGGUGCUACUGGAGCUAGUAACCGGGCGGGCGGCCAUUGAAUUUGCCAUCACCGACGAUGGAGGCGGAGUCCCAUGUAGGAGCUGGCCACGAGUUUGGCACUUGCCUGCCUGGGCGCAUGAUGUGAUGAACAGAGGAGGUUUCAGCAGCAAUGUGGUUGACAUGGCCAUCCCAAAUAAGGCAUGGUAUAUGAGGGAGAUGGAGGCGGUGUUCAAGCUCGCCGUGGAUUGCACCAUUAGGCAGGCGCACCUGAGGCCGUCCAUGCAGAGGGUUCUCAAACAACUCCGAUACCAUGGCAGCACGUUGUCGUGGAUAAAAAGCCGUCUCAGGUGCUGCCUACUGUGA
rnacentral:rRNA from 1 species